AAUACCCCGACUUCGGAGGGGGUAUUUAUUAGAUAAAAAACCAAUGCCCUUCGGGGCUCUUUGGUGAUUCAUGAUAACUUAACGGAUCGCAUGGCCUUGCGCCGGCGACGGUUCAUUCAAAUUUCUGCCCUAUCAACUUUCGAUGGUAAGGUAUUGGCUUACCAUGGCUUUCAACGGGUAACGGAUUUUUAGGGAAAGAUCCCGGAGAGGGAGCCUGAGAAACGGCUACCACGUCCGAGGAAGGCAGCAGGCGCGCAAAUUACCCAAUCCCGACACGGGGAGGUAGUGACAAUAAAUACUGAUACAGGGCUCUUUUGGGUCUUGUAAUCGGAAUGAGUACAAUUUAAAUACCUUAACGAGGAACAAUUGGAGGGCGAAGUCUGGUGCCAGCAGCCGCGGUAAUUCCAGCUCCAAUAGCGUAUAUUAAAGUUGUUGCAGGUAAAAAGCUCGUAGGUGAACCUUGGGCCCUGGGCUGGGCCCGGUCCGCCUCACCCGCGUGUACUGGGUCCGGGCCCGGGGCCUUUUCCUUCUGGAGAACCGCAAUGCCCCUUCUCUGGGGGUGCCCGGGGGAAACCCAAGGGACCUUUUACUUUUGAGAAAAAUUAGAGUGUUCAAAAGCAGGGCCUUUGCUCGGAAUACGUUAGCAUGGAAAUAAUAGAAAUUAGGACCGUGCGGUCCCUAUUUUGUUGGGUUUCUAGAACCGCCGUUAAAUGGAUUAAUAGGGGAUAGUCGGGGGGCGUCCAGUAUUCCAAUUGUCAGAAGGUGAAAUUCUUGGGAUCUAUUGAAAGACUAACUCCUGCGAAAGCAUUCGCCAAAGGAUGUUUUUCAUUAAUCAGUGAACGAAAAGUUUAGGGGGAUCGAAAGACGAUCAGAUACCCGUCGUAGUCUUAACCCGUAAACUAUGCCCGACUAGGGGAUCGGGCGAUGUUUCUAUAUUGACUCGCUCGGCACCUUACGAGAAAUCAUAAGUUUUUGGGUUCUGGGGGGAGUAUGGUCGCAAGGCUGAAAACUUAAAGAAAUUGACGGAAGGGCACCACCAGGCGUGGAGCCUGCGGCUUAAUUUGACUCAACACGGGGAAACUCACCAGGUUCAGAUGAAAUAAGGAUUGACAGAUUGAGAGCUCUUUCUUGAUUUUUCAGGUGGUGGGGCAUGGCCGUUCUUAGUUCGUGGCGUGAGUUGUCUACUUAACUGUGAUAACGAACGAGACCUUAACCUGCUAAAUAGCCAGGCUAGCUUUGGCUGGUCGCCGGCUUCUUAGAGGGACUAUCGGCUCAAGCCGAUGGAAGUUUGAGGCAAUAACAGGUCUGUGAUGCCCUUAGAUAUUCUGGGCCGCACGCGCGCUACACUGACAGAGCCAACGAGUUCAUCACCUUGGCCGGAAGGUCUGGGUAAUCUUGUUAAACUCUGUCGUGCUGGGGAUAGAGCAUUGCAAUUAUUGCUCUUCAACGAGGAAUGCCUAGUAAGCGCGUAUCAUCAGUACGCGUUGAUUACGUCCCUGCCCUUUGUACACCCCGCCCGUCGCUA
rnacentral:rRNA from 1 species